rnacentral:rRNA from 1 species
GCUUGGGUACAUCUGUUACACGAUCGUGCAGUCAAGCGGACUGAGGGAGCUUGCUCCCUGCAUAUCACCGGCGGAGGGUGAAAUCACGUGGGUAACCUGCCUGUAUGACUGGGAUAACUCCCGGAAACCGGGGCUAAUACCGGAUAGUUUUUUUUCUCUCAUGAGGAAAAGUGGAAAGGUGGCUUUUUUCUCCCCCUUAUAAAUGGACCCCCGGCGCAUUAUCUAUUUGGGGAGGUAACGGCUCCCCACGGGGACAAUACGUAUCCCACCUGAGAGGGGGAUCGCCCCCACUGGGACUGAAACACGCCCCCCACACCCCCGGGGGGCGCCACUAGGGAAUCUCCUCCAAUGGGGAAAAAUCUGACAAAGCACCCCCCCGCGAGAGAGAAGGGUUUUCGCAUAUCAAAGCUCUGUUGUUAGAGAAAAAAAGUGCCGCUCUAAUAGGGGGGCACCUUGAGGGUACCUAUCCACAAAGCCCCGGCUAUCUAUAUGCGCCCACCCCCGGUAUUACAUAUGUGGCACGCGUUGUCCGAAUUAUUGGGCGUAUAGCGCGCGCACGCGCUCUCUAAAUCUGAUGUGAAGCCCCCGGCUCACCCGUGGAGAGUCAUUGUGAACUGUGGGGACUUGUGUACACAAAAGAAAAGUGUGAAUUCCCGUGUAUCGGGUGUAAUGCGUAAUAUAUGUGGAGAACACACGUGUGGAAGGACGACACUCUGGUGC